CGCAGCCGCGGUAAUUCCAGCUCCAAUAGCGUAUAUUAAAGUUGUUGCAGUUAAAAAGCUCGUAGUUGAAUUUCGGGAUCAGUACGCUGGUCGUGCCUUUGGUAUGUACUGGUGUCACUGAUUCCUCCCUUCUGAAGAACCGUUAUGCCAUUUAUUUGGUGUGGCGGGGAAUCAGGACUGUUACUUUGAAAGAAUUAGAGUGUUUAAAGCAGGCUCACGCUUGAAUACAUUAGCAUGGAAUAAUGAAAUAGGACGUUUGAUUCUAUUUUGUUGGUUUCUAGGAUCGACGUAAUGAUUAAUAGGGAUAGUUGGGGGCAUUAGUAUUCAAUUGUCAGAGGUGAAAUUCUUGGAUUUAUUGAAGACUAACUACUGCGAAAGCAUUUGCCAAGGAUGUUUUCAUUAAUCAAGAACGAAAGUUAGGGGAUCGAAGACGAUCAGAUACCGUCGUAGUCUUAACCAUAAACUAUGCCGACUAGGGAUCGGAUGAUGUUAAUUUUUAAUGACUCAUUC
rnacentral:rRNA from 1 species